rnacentral:ncRNA from 1 species
AAGAACGCAUCCGGGUGUUCAACUGCCUCUAUGCUCUGUGCCACAACCUCAGCUAUCAAAAGCUUGAGGACGACCAGAGCAGGGCGGUUGAUCUGAGAAAUACCGGCGAACUUGAUCUGGAUAAUACCAGCGAAAGGACAUGCUUCUUGACAUCCC